rnacentral:lncRNA from 1 species
GGCCUAGUCUGUGGUGCUACAAGUACUUUGGUUAAUCACAUCUCUGGAUCUCUUUUGACCUACGGCACUCACUAUUUGCUUGUUUAAGUUCACAUUCGCAUCAACAUAUAAGUGCUAAACACUGUCAAUUAAAAGACCUCAUGCAAUCAAUUUAUUUCAUAAAUAAAUGAAACAAAAGUCUUUAUUGAAACUAAUUUUAAAAUCUUCUUGUGUUAGCACAGAU